rnacentral:lncRNA from 10 species
CUGGAGUGCAGUUUUAAACUACUGCAAUGUGGAAUUUCCACAGUCAUGGCACUUAAUUGGUCCUUGGCAUCUGGGUUUGGUGCUCUUCUUCCUCCUGUCUCAAGAGGGCAGUCUGGCCACAGCUCUUUCCAUGGAAGGGGUAGGGUAGGAGUGUGAAGACAGGUCCUGAUGAUCACACGAUGCCCUUCUUUCUCUUAAUUUAGGUUUGGGAGCAGAGAGAACAAAAGAUCCCACAUGGGUCUUCAAUUCUAAGCCACAUGUUCCUGAUUUGGAGUCUACAGGGCUUGCAAAACUGACAGUCAUGCCAUUGGUGUGUACAUGCUCUCUUGAAGACCUCAUGGAGAGCACAAAUGAUUUGCUGGGUAAGAUUAGGCAUUCCUGGGUCCUCAGUCACCAGAUGUCAACAUCUAUUUGUUUCCAAUGAACUGUUGAUUUAAUCUCUCUCUCUGCAGCUCAGCCUCCUUAGCAGAGGCCUUUUAUAAUCUGUUCCCAACUGACCAGGCCAUUUUCAUCUUCUCUGCCAUUGCUGCUGGCCAUACAGAACCUCUGAGCAUCCUGGACCUUUCCCUAGACUCUUUCAGGAUGUCCUGCCCCUUUACAUGCUAUUUCUUCUUCCUGGAAUUUCAUCAUUGUUAUUUGAUUGGGAAAAACCCCUCAUUCAAGAUACAACUCCAAUAUGUUGACCUUGGGAAAACUUCUCUAAUGGACCCAACUCUACAGGGCUUGAUCUUCCCCUGGAGGUCAGGGACCCUGUCAUAGUCAUCUAUGUCCCUAGGUCUUAGCAUCAUGCCAGAGGCACAGUAGAUGCCCAAUUAAUAUCUGUUGACUGACUGGUGUGUCUGUCUGUGCAGGUGUACAUGUGGCGUUCUUGGGGUGAAGGACAAUACAGUGAAGGAGCCUGAAGUAAGAAGGAACAUGCUAGGUCCCUUUUUUUGUCAAUGGACUGCAUCCUUGAUACUUCUUGUUAUACUUCAGAAUAAAAAUUAGCGGGGCAGAAGCUGUCAUCUGUGUGUGCACCUCAGGAAAGACCCACUGCUCCUUGAUCGAGCCAAGCGGCCCUGGUGCAGCCCGUCUGUGAAUCAUUUCUGAUGAGUUCUAA